UUGUGUCGCAUGGUAUCGGGGUGGUGUAAUUUACCUGGUCUGUCUGUGUUGGGGUGAUUAUCGGACAGUGCGAAGCAUGUUUUGAUAGUAAUUAAUCGGGAAGACGGAUUUCAAAUUGACAUAUCCUUUACAUAAACGUGAAUGGAGAAUUGACAACGAUGAUAGUGUCACCACCAAACAAUCGGACAUUCCCGAUUUUUGCCUCUCGCUGACAGCAUCCAAAAUAUGCAAUAAGAUGUCAUGGGUGCAAAGGUUUUGUUCGCCAACUUCAUAGCAGGGCAGAUCACUCCUUUUCUGGUUGCAAUGCAGAUUGUUCUACCAGACUCUGCAAGCCCAUGUUUACAGACAAGCAAGAUCGCCUUUGUAGUCGUACCUAAAUCCAUGUGCUUUAAUUUAAAUUUAGAUAUAUAGACCAGCCAAUGUUUAUAUGGUGUAAAAGGAUGCAACUUUAAGUAUUAUUUGAUAAUAUGUAUGUGACUUGUUGUUGGAGAGGAUUUUUUGCUGAAUAUUUUAAUAAAAUAUUUAUUUUAAAGUU